UGUUCACAAAUGGUGCCAUUUCAAUGACCUGAAGUGGAUUGGCUUUGCGGCUUAAAUAGUUUUGUAUCUAAGUUGUUCCUCCUGCUGAGUAUCUAAAUUGUCUUGCUGCACUUAUUCAAGCCAUAACGUUGACGCUGAAAGUAAAUUCUGGCCCAUCUACAGUUGCACGAAGAUGUGUUUGGUUUCUUAAAAAAAGACACCAACAUCUA